UGGGGGAUAUUGCACAAUGGGGGGAAACCCUGAUGCAGCGACGCCGCGUGAGGGAAGACGGUCCUCUGGAUUGUAAACCUCUGUCCUUGGGGACGAAGGAAGUGACGGUACCCAAGGAGGAAGCCCCGGCUAACUACGUGCCAGCAGCCGCGGUAAUACGUAGGGGCGAGCGUUGUCCGGAAUGACUGGGCGUAAAGGGCGCGUAGGCGGCUUGAUAAGUUAGAAGUGAAAGUCCUGCUUUCAAGGUGGGAAUUGCUUUUAAUACUGUUGAGCUUGAGUGCAGAAGAGGUAAGCGGAAUUCCAAGUGUAGCGGUGAAAUGCGUAGAGAUUUGGAAGAACACCAGUGGCGAAGGCGGCUUACUGGGCUGUAACUGACGCUGAGGCG
rnacentral:rRNA from 1 species